rnacentral:rRNA from 1 species
GAUGAACGCUGGCGGCGUGCCUAACACAUGCAAGUCGAGCGAUUCUCUUCGGAGAAGAGCGGCGGACGGGUGAGUAACGCGUGGGUAACCUGCCCUGUACACACGAAUAACAUACCGAAAGGUAUGCUAAUACGAGAUAAUAUACUUUUAUCGCAUGGUAGAAGUAUCAAAGCUCCGGCGGUACAGGAUGGACCCGCGUCUGAUUAGCUAGUUGGUAAGGUAACGGCUUACCAAGGCGACGAUCAGUAGCCGACCUGAGAGGGUGAUCGGCCACAUUGGAACUGAGACACGGUCCAAACUCCUACGGGAGGCAGCAGUGGGGAAUAUUGCACAAUGGGCGAAAGCCUGAUGCAGCAACGCCGCGUGAGCGAUGAAGGCCUUCGGGUCGUAAAGCUCUGUCCUCAAGGAAGAUAAUGACGGUACUUGAGGAGGAAGCCCCGGCUAACUACGUGCCAGCAGCCGCAGUAACAC